UGCCUGGGCGCCCUGCAGGUGCAGGACACGCCGGCGCUGGCGGCGGCCGCGCGCCGAAGAUGGGCCGAGGUCUCGCGCCGGCCGGGGCUGCCCCGCGGGGGGACCCCCCAAAAGCAGCGCCGGGGGCAG